CACUCGGUUUGGUAAUUAUUCAGUCGUCACAGUCCCAUUCUGGGUGAUUCGUAUCGGGAUGCUCAAACGUUUCUCAGGCUCUGGAAAUUGAAGAGUUCAUUUUGAAGAAGCAACAAACGUGACUCAGCCACACAGUAACAAGUGAGCAAAAAUGCAUUCUGCUCUUUGGAUGUUGCAUAUCUCCUUGGAGGUUAUUCUUCUACUCUGAGCUUUCUCAAAAAUGUUUCUAAUAAGGGUGUCUACUAAAGAAUGAAGGCACCAUCCAACAAAAUGACAGAGUGCAGGCACCCUGUUUUACACACGUCGGCAACCGAACUUCACAUCUAUGCAGUGCAUUUAAGCAGUCAGCAAUCCUUUACCGGAUAGUCACGCUGUAG